rnacentral:rRNA from 1 species
AGAGUUUGAUCCUGGCUCAGAUUGAACGCUGGCGGAAUGCUUUACACAUGCAAGUCGAGCGGCAGCGCGGGGCAACCUGGCGGCGAGCGGCGAACGGGUGAGUAACACAUCGGAACGUACCCUAUCGUGGGGGAUAACGAAUCGAAAGAUUCGCUAAUACCGCAUACGACCUGAGGGUGAAAGCGGGGGAUCGCAAGACCUCGCGCGAUUGGAGCGGCCGAUGUCGGAUUAGCUAGUUGGUAGGGUAAAGGCCUACCAAGGCGACGAUCCGUAGCUGGUCUGAGAGGACGACCAGCCACACUGGGACCGAGACACGGCCCAGACUCCUACGGGAGGCAGCAGUGGGGAAUUUUGGACAAUGGGGGCAACCCUGAUCCAGCCAUGCCGCGUGAGUGAAGAAGGCCUUCGGGUUGUAAAGCUCUUUCAGCCGGGAAGAAAACGCAUGGGUUAAUACCCUGUGUGGAUGACGGUACCGGAAUAAGAAGCACCGGCUAACUACGUGCCAGCAGCCGCGGUAAUACGUAGGGUGCGAGCGUUAAUCGGAAUUACUGGGCGUAAAGCGUGCGCAGGCGGUUUUGUAAGACAGGCGUGAAAUCCCCGGGCUCAACCUGGGAACUGCGUUUGUGACUGCAAGGCUAGAGUAUGGCAGAGGGGGGUGGAAUUCCACGUGUAGCAGUGAAAUGCGUAGAGAUGUGGAGGAACACCGAUGGCGAANGCAGCCCCCUGGGCCAAUACUGACGCUCAUGCACGAAAGCGUGGGUAGCAAACAGGAUUAGAUACCCUGG